rfam:Ciona savignyi cont_29460, whole genome shotgun sequence.
GUCGUCGUGGCCGAGUGGUUAAGGCGACAGACUAGAAAUCUGUUGGGCUCUGCCCGCACAGGUUGGAAUCCUGUCGGCGACG